GAUGAACGCUGGCGGCGUGCCUAAUACAUGCAAGUCGAGCGAACAGACGAGGAGCUUGCUCCUCUGACGUUAGCGGCGGACGGGUGAGUAACACGUGGAUAACCUACCUAUAAGACUGGGAUAACUUCGGGAAACCGGAGCUAAUACCGGAUAAUAUAUUGAACCGCAUGGUUCAAUAGUGAAAGACGGUUUUGCUGUCACUUAGAGAUGGAUCCGCGCCGCAUUAGCUAGUUGGUAAGGUAACGGCUUACCAAGGCAACGAUGCGUAGCCGACCUGAGAGGGUGAUCGGCCACACUGGAACUGAGACACGGUCCAGACUCCUACGGGAGGCAGCAGUAGGGAAUAUUCCGCAAUGGGCGAAAGCUUGACGGAGCAACGCCGCGUGAGUGAUGAAGGUCUUCGGAUCGUAAAACUCUGUUAUUAGGGAAGAACAAAUGUGUAAGUAACUAUGCCCGUCUUGACGGUACCUAAUCAGAAAGCCACGGCUAACUACGUG
rnacentral:rRNA from 1 species